rnacentral:rRNA from 1 species
CUGGGGGAUUAGUGGCGAACGGGUGAGUAACACGUGAGUAACCUGCCCUUGACUCUGGGAUAAGCCUGGGAAACUGGGUCUAAUACCGGAUAUGACUGUCUGACGCAUGUCAGGUGGUGGAAAGCUUUUGUGGUUUUGGAUGGACUCGCGGCCUAUCAGCUUGUUGGUGGGGUAAUGGCCUACCAAGGCGACGACGGGUAGCCGGCCUGAGAGGGUGACCGGCCACACUGGGACUGAGACACGGCCCAGACUCCUACGGGAGGCAGCAGUGGGGAAUAUUGCACAAUGGGCGCAAGCCUGAUGCAGCGACGCCGCGUGAGGGAUGACGGCCUUCGGGUUGUAAACCUCUUUCAGUAGGGAAGAAGCGAAAGUGACGGUACCUGCAGAAGAAGCGCCGGCUAACUACGUGCCAGCAGCCGCGGUAAUACGUAGGGCGCAAGCGUUAUCCGGAAUUAUUGGGCGUAAAGAGCUCGUAGGCGGUUUGUCGCGUCUGCUGUGAAAGACCGGGGCUCAACUCCGGUUCUGCAGUGGGUACGGGCAGACUAGAGUGAUGUAGGGGAGACUGGAAUUCCUGGUGUAGCGGUGAAAUGCGCAGAUAUCAGGAGGAACACCGAUGGCGAAGGCAGGUCUCUGGGCAUUAACUGACGCUGAGGAGCGAAAGCAUGGGGAGCGAACAGGAUUAGAUACCCUGGUAGUCCAUGCCGUAAACGUUGGGCACUAGGUGUGGGGGACAUUCCACGUUUUCCGCGCCGUAGCUAACGCAUUAAGUGCCCCGCCUGGGGAGUACGGCCGCAAGGCUAAAACUCAAAGGAAUUGACGGGGGCCCGCACAAGCGGCGGAGCAUGCGGAUUAAUUCGAUGCAACGCGAAGAACCUUACCAAGGCUUGACAUGAACCGGUAAUACCUGGAAACAGGUGCCCCGCUUGCGGUCGGUUUACAGGUGGUGCAUGGUUGUCGUCAGCUCGUGUCGUGAGAUGUUGGGUUAAGUCCCGCAACGAGCGCAACCCUCGUUCUAUGUUGCCAGCGCGUUAUGGCGGGGACUCAUAGGAGACUGCCGGGGUCAACUCGGAGGAAGGUGGGGACGACGUCAAAUCAUCAUGCCCCUUAUGUCUUGGGCUUCACGCAUGCUACAAUGGCCGGUACAAAGGGUUGCGAUACUGUGAGGUGGAGCUAAUCCCAAAAAGCCGGUCUCAGUUCGGAUUGGGGUCUGCAACUCGACCCCAUGAAGUCGGAGUCGCUAGUAAUCGCAGAUCAGCAACGCUGCGGUGAAUACGUUCCCGGGCCUUGUACACACCGCCCGUCAAGUCACGAAAGUUGGUAACACCCGA